UACGUAGGCAGCAAGCGUUGUUCGGAAUUACUGGGCGUAAAGCGAGUGUAGGCGGUUUGCCGUGUCUGCUGUGAAAUCUCCCGGCUCAACUGGGAGGGUGCGGCGGAAACUGGCAGGCUAGAGUGCGGAAGAGGAAAGUGGAAUUCCUGGUGUAGCGGUGAAAUGCGUAGAUAUCAGGAGGAACACCUGUGGUGAAGACGGCUUUCUGGACCGCCACUGACGCUGAGACUCGAAAGCGUGGGGAGCAAACAGG
rnacentral:misc_RNA from 1 species